GCCCGUGUAUGAUGUUCGUCAAACUUGGCAGCCCGGCUAUAGGUGGCAGCACUGUUCGGCAGCGGUGAGUGCUGACUGUGUUGGCAAUGACAUGCAUGGCCAAGUGUGCUACAACCAAACUGUACUGGUUGAUGCUGUUGGGCCCCUGGGCACUAAACAGGUCCGUGUCAUGAUUGAUGGGGGAUCAGACUCUUCAUUCAUCAGGGCCUCUGUCGCUGAAGAGCUCGGGCUGGCGGUACUGGGACAGGGGACAUUCGCCUGUAUUGGAUUCCCUGAGCGUGUUGAGGAGGCACGCACCUAUGACCAGGUCAAGGUGACCUUGAGGAGCCGUCACACAGGUGAGGGAAAGGAGCUCCAGUUCUGGAAGAGUGAUCGCUUGUGUGCGCCUGUAAAUGACAGAAAACCCGACUUUUUGUCGCUCCCAAGUGGUGUGAAGCUGGCUGAUGAUUACCAGGGGGGACCUGUUGAUCUGUUGAUCGGCCUGGAUCAGAUGUACCAUGUUGUGCUGUGGAACCAUGUCCAGGUCUCACCAGCUCUCAGACUGAUCGAGACGAUCUUCGGACACGUGCUGCACGGAGCAGCGCCGAGCCAGCAGCAACCAGCGCGCCGACACGUCUACCGAUGCCAAACCGUGGAGCAGAUGUGGACACUGGACGCCGUGGGGGUCGCCCAAGAUGAAGUGAGUACCUGUAAGCCUAACUUCGAAGAACCUACCUGGGUUCCUGCUGCGAAUCGCUACGAGAUGUCGUUGUUGUGGAAGUCGGACCGUCGCCCCGUCGCUAACCUGGCUGUUGCAGAGAGUCGCACCCGCCGUAUGACCGAGAAGCUGACCGCAGAGGAGUUCGACGAGUACGACAGUCACCUGGCCAACCUGAGGAAGACCGGCGUCAUCGAGGACGCGCCCAUCGCUGAAGAUCGAGAGUCUGCGUUCUACCUACCGCACCACGGGGUGCAUCGGAACGGCAAACUCCGCGUGGUGUACGACGGCUCGGCAGCUGACGGCAGCGGCUACAGUCUCAACUCGUACUUGGAAUCUGGUGAGAAUCUGCUCAGUCGAGUGCCUGCUGUCCUGCUGAACUUUCGCAGAGGUCCGGUGGCCUGUCAGACGGACAUCCAGGCUGCGUUUCACCAGAUUCUUGUACGCCUAGAGGACAGACCUUACCUGCAGUUCUUUUGGCUGGAUCGUGUGCUGAGGUUCCAGAGAGUACCAUUUGGUUUGAAGUGUUCGCCGUAUAUGCUGCUGCAGACUGUUAACACCCACCUCAGGUACCAGAGCGCGGAGCAGGACCUGUGCGAUAAGGUGCGCUCCGGUCUGUAUAUGGAUGACAUAUGUCUCACCUUCUCUAGCAAGGAUGAAGCCUGCAGAGCGAUGGAGAAGACUCGCGUGAUAUUCCAGGAGGCUGGAAUGUCUCUGCACAAGACGCGAGUGACCGGGGACGCGUGUGAGGAUGCGCCUGUCCUGGGUCUGAUGUGGAGCACCACUCGUGAUGAGCUCGCUGUGGUUGUCCCAGAGUCGACCUGUCCUGUAACCAAAAGUCAGCUGCUGUCUGCUUUAUCACGACCGUUUGACCCGCUUGGUGUACUCGUGCCAUGGAUCAUUCGUGGAAAGGUCCUCUUCCAGGAGACUUGGAGGACUAUGCCGCCCGGCGUGUGGGAGGAGAGGCUGCCGGAAGCACUUCAGGCAGAGGUCAGAGCCUGGUGGGUCUCAGCCCGUCAGCUGAUAUGGUUUCCCCGACCGUGUACCAUUACCUUAUCGGAGGAAGCGACGUAUCACGUGUUCUGUGAUGCCUCAGCCGUCGCCUUCUGUGCCGCUGUGUAUGCUGUGCAGGGUGGGGAGGCGAAGCUCCUGAUCGCCCGGAGCCGACUCGCCCCCCUCUCCACCCAGCUGACCAUCCCCCGCCUGGAGCUGAUGGGGGCCUUGAUUGGGGCGCGUUUGAUGGAUUUCGUUAGGAAGUCGUUGAACAUGUCGUCUCCUACAGUGUACUUUUGGACAGACUCUAUGGACGUCAUCUACUGGAUCUCCUGUGGGAGGCCACGGAAGCUCUUCGUGGAGAAUCGCGUCUCGGCCAUCCUCCAGCUCUCGCGCGCGGACCAGUGGCGACACGUCAGGGGUGAGGAGAACCCGGCGGACCUCGGCACAAGAGGUAUGUCUCUCGAGUCACUGGCGAAGAGUGCCAUGUGGUGGCACGGACCGAAGUUUAUCGUUGAUGGCGUGGACACUGUUGAUGUGUUGCCUGUUCCAGCUGAGCCCAGCACUGACGCGAUUCAGGAGCUGAAGCCGACCAAGACUGACCCCGAGCGGAGAGAGAGGAUUCUUCGCAGCUGACCACCGAAGAGAGGAGGCGCGCACUGCGGCUGCUGAUCGGGGAAGCGCAAGAGAGGCACUUCGGAUUGGAGCUCGAGGCUCUCCGCGCUUGCCAACCUCUCCCGGGCACCCGCGUGACGCUCGCUGUAGCUGCCGCAGAGUACAUGGUGAGGCGGCGAGCUGUUCGCCGUGUCGUCGACACCUGCACCCGAUGCCGGAGAUACCGCGGCCUGCCGUACCGAUCGCCGGAGGGUGC
rnacentral:misc_RNA from 1 species